rnacentral:lncRNA from 1 species
ACAACUGAUUUAGGAGGUAAUGCCAUGUUGAUCCCUUUCUUUUUCCACUGUUAGUUACUACAGAAGAAUUCUCUGGGACAACUGCUAUAUCUAGAACGUCCCACACUGGUAGGUUGAUAAGCAGGAAAUCUCCAUGUUUAACCAUAUAAUAUAGUUUUAGAGCUGCUUUGAUGAAAUACCAACCUCAUUCUUUUCCCAAUAUCCCAAAUUCUGAUCUCACCAUUCAUCACUUCCUCCCCCAGAGGCCACAACUUUAAUAGAAGGCCGCAGCAUUCCUCCAUCUGGAUCCAGCCCAGCCACCACUGGGGUAGCUCCUGGCACAACUGUUGCACCUGGCAGUUCCAACACAGAGGCCACAACUUCCACAAAAGGGACUGGUACUUCUGGAACUGGCUUCAAAACUGGUAAGAAUCAACAGUCCGUGAUUUAGGGUCAUCAAGAUUAGGAAUCAAGCUUCUCCUAAGAGUGUUUAUAUUUUAUUUA